rnacentral:rRNA from 1 species
UCCAGCAGCCAUAUCACCCUGCGACUCACAACUGGCAACCCACUGAAGCUAAGUAGGUGUGAGCCUGGUCAAUACCUGGAUGGGAGACCUCCUUGGGAUAAAGUUAAGGUUGCUGCUGGAA